rnacentral:tRNA from 13 species
GGAUGGCUCAGUUGGUAGAGGGUUGGCUUGAAGCUCAUGAGGUUGCGAGUUCGAGUCCCGGC